UCUCUGAAUUUCUGCCCAGUGCUCUGAAUGUUAAUUUAAGGAAAUUUGAGUAAGCGCGGGUAAACGGCGGGAGUAACUAUGACUCUCUUAAGGUAGCCAAAUGCCUCGUCAUUUAAUUAGUGACGCGUAUGAAUGGAUUAACGAGAUUCCCACUGUCCCUAACUACUAUCUAGCGAAACCACAGCCAAGGGAACGGGCUUGGCAAAGACAGCGGGGAAAGAAGACCCUGUUGAGCUUGACUCUAGUCUGACUUUGUGAAGAAUCAUGCAUGGUGUAGUAUAAGUGGGAGUGUUUCGGCACGUCAGUGAAAUACCACUACUUUCAUCGUUUCCUUACUUAUUCGGUAAUACGGGGAACGUUUUCUCUGAAAACUUGUGAUUGAUUUUAAGCCGGCGUACUUGGUGCGCCGGCGACCCGCGCCGAUGACAUUGUCAGGCGGGGAGUUUGACUGGGGCGGUACAUCUAUCAAACAGUAACGUAGGUGUCCUAAGGUAAGCUCAGUAAGGACGGAAACCUUACGUAGAGUAAAAGGACAAAAGCUUACUUGAUCUUGAUUUUCAGUACGAAUACAGACCGCGAAAGCGUGGCCUAUCGAUCCUUUCGAUUUGUAAAGUUUACAGCAAGAGGUGUCAGAAAAGUUACCACAGGGAUAACUGGCUUGUGGCAGCCAAGCGUCCAUAGCGACGUUGCUUUUUGAUCCUUCGAUGUCGGCUCUUCCUAUCAUUGCGUAGCAGAAUGCGCAAAGCGUUGGAUUGUUCACCCACUAAUAGGGAACGUGAGCUGGGUUUAGACCGUCGUGAGACAGGUUAGUUUUAUCCUACUGUCAAAGAGUUGUUGCAAUAGUAAUCUUGCUUAGUACGAGAGGAACAGCAGGUUCAGACAAUUGGUUUAUGGGCUCGUCCGAUAGGACGAUGGUCCGAAGCUACCAUCUGCGGGAUUAUAACUGAAUGCCUCUAAGUUAGAAGCCCGUCUAGUUAGGUAAACAAUGUUUUGUACCCCGGCUUCGUGUGGUACGUUUAUGCCUCGGCGCUCGCCGCCGUUGCAGCCUUUACCCUAUAUUUGACCUUGCAGGUCGGUUUAAUUACUGGCUUGUUGUCGAAUCCAUACGACUUUGUGUGGUUGAUUGUCAGGGUGUAAGAUCGCUUGUAGACGACUUGACUACUGGUCAGGGGGUUGUACGCAGCAGAGCAGUUAUUACACUGCGAUCUGUUGAGACUAUCCUUUGAUCGGAUGUAUCUGU
rfam:Bursaphelenchus xylophilus, Ka4C1 (inbred line), WGS project CADV01000000 data, contig: contig10725